rnacentral:rRNA from 1 species
GAGUUUGAUCCUGGCUCAGGAUGAACGCUGGCGGCGUGCCUAAUACAUGCAAGUCGAGCGAACGGACGAGAAGCUUGCUUCUCUGAUGUUAGCGGCGGACGGGUGAGUAACACGUGGGUAACCUACCUAUAAGACUGGGAUAACUCCGGGAAACCGGGGCUAAUACCGGAUAACACAUGAAACCGCAUGGUUUCAUGAUGAAAGACGGUCUUGCUGUCACUUAUAGAUGGAUCCGCGCUGCAUUAGCUAGUUGGUAAGGUAACGGCUUACCAAGGCAACGAUGCAUAGCCGACCUGAGAGGGUGAUCGGCCACACUGGAACUGAGACACGGUCCAGACUCCUACGGGAGGCAGCAGUAGGGAAUCUUCCGCAAUGGGCGAAAGCCUGACGGAGCAACGCCGCGUGAGUGAUGAAGGUCUUCGGAUCGUAAAACUCUGUUAUUAGGGAAGACAUAUGUGUAAGUAACUGUGCACAUCUUGACGGUACCUAAUCAGAAAGCCA